ensembl:lncRNA
GACAAAGCAGCCAUGCCCAGGGUGUACAGGUAGGAGAUGUCAACAGAUCCACAUUGUAAUCACACAGAGAGAUACAUCAUUCCCUAUUAAAUAGGGAAAUCAACAAGGAGAUACUGCAAGGGUCCUCAGCAGAGCAAACUCUGCAGGUCAGUUUUCCCCCCUCAUCAGAAGUUUUGUCUAGUCCCACUGCAUUAAAAUUACACAUUUUAUAUACAUUUUGGAUUUGUCUAUUCUGCUGUCAUUAGCUGUCAGAACAGAAAUAAACAUGACAGCAGAAAUCUGGUACUUUGCAUGCCUAAAUGUAGCUUUGAAGAUGAAAACGCAAGAGUGGGGGCAUGACUUCUGCUCAGUUAGUACAAUCAUUUCUUCCUUUCAUGGCUUAAUGCUGAAAUUUCUCAGUAUCCACAAUGGAUGAUAACUGAAAGUGCAUAUUUAUGCCCCCUAAGCAGCAAAUUCUUCUGUGGGGUAAGAGCUACAGCAUCACAUAGAGAAACACUACAGCAGUCAAGCUGAAAGCCUGCUCACACAUGUGCUGGCUGGACAUGAAUUCAGCCAAGCCACCUUUCUGUGAUUAAAAUAAGGCUCUCCUGAAGAUAUGUCACAUAAACCAUCAUCCCAGUACAGUAUCUGUUCCAGUUUUGGCUAAGGUCAUGUCAUCACGAUGAUCAUCGUAACCAUAAUCCCACCUAAACACCGCAGCUGUUGAGGGAAUCAAACAUUACCCUAAAGAUGUUGCAGCAAACUGAGCAUUAUAUUCAAGAAACAGAGCUUCUCCAGUGGCGACCUACAAGUCUGUAUCAUGAACUCACGACUAUGUACAGCUAAGAGAUUCUCUUCAGUACAGGACCCUUGCAAAUAAGAAAUAGAAGAAAUCACAGCACAGAGAGAAAGUAACCUGUUCUUGUUAUCAGAGCUCAUCACUGCGGAACCGCCAACACCUACUGAAGAGAGUCUCUACUGAUUAACAAGUCAUGAAACCUCCCACAUCAGAUAAACUCAGUGUCAUCAUGAUUACAGCAUGCACACUGCAGGUAUGAGCUUCAAACUGAGAUUUAGGCCUUGCUGUGCAAGAAGAUACUUGGUUUAUCUUCACAGCAGUAUACUGGGUUAUGAAAACCUAGUGCAAAGGUAGGAAGCAUGCAGUCCUGCCCACUGCCCACUUUGAAUGAAUAAUAAAAAUAUUAGUCCAAAAAAGGAUGUUCAGAUAUGAUCAGUAAAUGCUCAGCAGAGGAAGGUC